ACUUAUAUAGUUUAAUCUAAAACAUUAAUUUUGUAAAUUAAAAAUAUUCUUAAUUAUAGGUA
rnacentral:tRNA from 1 species